CACGUAGGCGGACUUUUAAGUCAGGGGUGAAAUCCCGGGGCUCAACCCCGGAACUGCCUUUGAUACUGGGUGUCUUGAGUGUGAUAGAGGUAUGUGGAACUCCGAGUGUAGAGGUGAAAUUCGUAGAUAUUCGGAAGAACACCAGUGGCGAAGGCGACAUACUGGAUCAUUACUGACGCUGAGGCUCGAAAGCGUGGGGAGCAAACAGGAUUAGAUACCCCAGUA
rnacentral:rRNA from 1 species